rnacentral:rRNA from 1 species
UAGGGAAUCUUCCACAAUGGACGAAAGUCUGAUGGAGCAACGUCGCGUGAGUGAAGAAGGUUUUCGGAUCGUAAAGCUCUGUUGUUGGUGAAGAAGGAUAGAGGCAGUAACUGGUCUUUAUUUGACGGUAAUCAACCAGAAAGUCACGGCUAACUACGUGCCAG